UAUACACUUUUGUGUAUGUAGAGUGAUGAAUAAAUAUCAAGAGAUGAUUAGUGUAGAUUUGGAGAUUUAAGAGAGACUAAGAGAAUAAAGAACAAGAGAGAAUACUCAAAACUCCAUUUGAUUGAUUAAUGAGAGAGUUUACAACAUAUAUAGAGUAGGGAUACAUAAAAACGUCCAGGUUCAGUCUAGCUAGGAUAACAAGCAUGUGUAGUCAAAGAUGCCUUAUUCAAACUAGCCAAUAAGGUUCCUCACAUGCUUGGGUAUCUUGCUUUAGCUUUCCAGCUGUGCCAGCCUGUCUAAAGCUUUCUUCCCUUGACCAGACCUUAUCCAAACUCCUCCUUGCUUAUCCAUACUCCCCCUGGCGUGUUUCACUCUCCAAAUAGCUGCAAGGUAACUUCCCAAGUCUUAUAACUCAGUUACCACAGUAACAAUAAAGUUACUGUGGUAAAUCACCAAAGUUACUGCCUGCUCCAAAUCCCUUCCUCUAUCCAUGUAUCAACUCUUCAUCUCCUCAUCUCAACACUCCCCCUCAAGCAUGACCAUGUG
rnacentral:lncRNA from 1 species